UCCUUUAUGCAGAACAUCUUCAGUAACUGAUUAUAGAAUCAUUGAAUCAUUCGGGUCAGAAAAGACCCUUAAGAUCACUGAGUUCAACCAUUAACCUAGCAUUGCCAAGUCCACCACUAAACCACAUCCCUAGGCGCCACAUGUACAUGUCUUUUAAAUGCCUCCAGGGAUAGCAACUCAACCACUUCCCUGGGCAUCCUCUUCCAAUGCUUGACAACACUUUCCAUGAAGAAUUUUUAACUCAUAUCUAAUCUGAACCUCCUGUGGUACAACUUGAGGCUGUUUCUUCUUGUCCUAUCACUUGUUACUUGGGAGAAGAGAUCAGCCACCUUCUCUCUCCAUCCUCCUUUCUGGCAGUUCUAGAUAAGGUCCCCCAAGCCUUCUCUUCUCCAGGCUAAACAACCCCAGUUCCCUCAGCCACUCCUCAUAAGACUUUUGCUCUAGGCCCUUUGCCAUUCUUGUUGCUCUUCUUUGGACCUGCUCCAGCAUGUCAAUAUCUCUCUUGUAAGAGGGGCCCAAAACUGAACACAGUAUUCAAGGUCGGCCUCAGCAGUGACGAGUACAGGAGGAUGACCAUUUCCUUAGUCCCGCUGGCCACAAUCUGAUGCAAUAGACAAGGUGGAGAGAAUCCCCAUUUCAUAGACCUGAUUUGAAGACGGGGAGUGAUAGACCAGCUUGGUGGGCAGCUGGCCUCCAGCCAGCAUCAACCCACAACAGUAAGAUCUCAGAGAUGCCCACAGUGCUGUUUCACUCCCCUAUUAUAAGAUGAUGCAGAAUGGCUAGAUGAGGUGUCAACAACUCAUGUGGGACAUUCCAAGUUGUAUUACUCUUAUGCUGGUUACCACCGCUUAACUCCAUUUUCUCAGCACCUACUUAAAACCACACUGAACUGAAGAGAAGCUGGCUAAAAAUGAAAAACUACAUAAUGCUUGCAGGAGAAGAUCAUUAGUGAAUCCCUGGCAACAUGACCUCAAAUAGUCUCAGAAUGUUAAGACAGUUGUUUUGGACUUCCCAGUCCAGACCCAAAUGGCUGUGGUAACAAAAGCAUGCUCAUCCACCUGCAGCUGACCAAAAAAGAUUGUGCUCUUUCCUCUUAAUGAUGAAAGGAUCCAUGCAUGAAUGGCUUCCCGGAGUUCUGCAACAAAUCUCUAAUAACGGUCUUGGAAAAAGCUGACUGCAUCUCCACAACUACUUUACUGCUGUAUUCCAGUCCCUGUUCUGCAGAGUUCUUUGUUUUACACAAUCCUCAACUAGUCUCUUGUCUCAAUAUCCAGGAUCUCCAAUGGGAUCAGCUCUCAUGUUCCCACACACAACCACAAACUACAAUGUUUCAGCAGAAAAUUAAACUCUCAAACAGCAGCAGAAAGCUGGUGAAUGCAAAUACAGCAACUUUCUCAGCAACUGCACCCAUACCAGAAAACUUCUGAAUAAAAGCAGCCUUGCCAUUCUAAAAGCUAAACAUAAAAGUCACGUUUCUAACUCGGUUUCCUCUUCAUCAGCUAUACACGCAAAACAGGUCCAUACUUUCAGGGAAACAAUAUACUAAUGAAAUUUUUACUGAACGGAAGGGAGAAAAGAUCUAUUUUUACUCUUUGAGAGAAGUAGUAAUAACACUCGCUCCCUCUGUAAACUACAAGGAGGUGGAAAUAAAGAUCCUAACCUGAGACAGACGCACUUACUGAAACCAAUAUCCUAGGAAAUCAUGUAUCCCAGGUGACCACUUCUCAGAAGAGCUCCUAGGAUUAUAGCACAAGUUAAACAAACAGCUAACAUCUCACUUUGCAGGGUGCUAGAGUUCAGGCUUACAGUUCAGGCUUUUUCUCCAGGGAAAGGAAUUACCUACAGAUGCUCUUCAGCAACAGCUCUGUAAAAUACCAAAGGAGAAUAAAUGAACCCUUAGGAUAAAGCAGAGGCAUCUAGUUUCUUCAGCCAAAACAGUCAUUUGUAACAGAAUGUUCUUUUACAGAUAAAACUUAGAAUAAUCAAGGCCACAGAGAAAGGUGAAGGAACCCCAAGGAAAUCGUAUUCUUUCAUAAAUGUCCUGUGUUUAAGCAGCAGUGCUAAAGACCUUCAUGAUUUAAUUUGUGCACAGUUCCCUAGACAACAAUAUUCACAUUAUCUGUAGUUCUAUGUUGUUCUCCUGACGCCAUUAAUUACCUGGCAAGGGAUGUCUGAAUGGUUAUCAAAAAGAGCAACUACAGAACUGCUUUAGAGAGUGCACAGGCAAGAUCAAGGCUUUUCUGUUGCCACUUAGUAAAGGAAACAUCUGAUGUCCCUGUUCUUGAAGAUGGGUGGAAAAACUAGAGAUUUUGCACAUUUUGGAAUGGUCCUGUCACAAGGAAAGUGUUGCAGAACCUGAAGAAUAAUGGUCUGCUUGCUGUGCAGAUUUAUCACAGAAGACAACAAUGAAGCCAGAACUGGAAGUAAAAUCUAAUGUGAAAUAUCACAAAAAUUCAGCACACCACUUGUCAAAGGAGACACUGAUGCUUAACAGUUGACCAGCAGGUAAACCAUUGACUUACUAUAAACUAGAAUUCAUGUUCUGAAGUCAACAACUGAUAACAUGAACUUUAUAGUCUGUGAUGAUACAAGAUCUGACUUAUAAAUGUACAAAGAAAUCAGUAAUAUGGAGUAACUGAAAAAUCUGGUUAAUAGUGGGAUUACAGAGGAAUAAUUAUUAAAAUCCAGAAAAAAAAUAUUUCCAAAUGCUUAACAUUAGCAGCAUGUACCUUCAGCAUGCUGGUGAAGACUGAAGGAACUGCAAACAGACAAAUGCAUAAAAGAAAAAAAAAGCUAUUGAUUGUAGCCCUGAGCAUAUUAUUGGUGUUUAUGUCCCAAUGCCCCUAACAGAUUUGAGCCCACAUCCUGAAGCGAGAUACAGAUCUACCUCCUUCCCAAUUAAGCAGUUGAACUGAGGCAUCCAGUACUAGUGCUGGUUAAAAUAAACAGAGAAAACUAGGUCCUCACUGUUUACAUCAAGAAUCCAACAAUCCAUCAGGUGCAAUGAAUGACCAUUGCUCUUACAAUACCCACAGAUCAUUUUCCCUCUUCUGGAAUAAGACGCAUUUCCAACUGAACACUACUACCACCCCCCAAAGAAAGUGCCCAAGAGAACAUUAACUUUCAUAUCGACAUUCAUAUCCUAGGGACUGUACCACAGCA